GGUGUAGCUCAGUAGUAGAUUAUGUGCUUAGCAUGCACAAGACCCUGGGUUCAAUCCCCAGCACC
rnacentral:tRNA from 1 species